GACGAACGCUGGCGGCGUGCUUAACACAUGCAAGUCGAACGGAAAGGCCCUGCUUUUGUGGGGUGCUCGAGUGGCGAACGGGUGAGUAACACGUGAGUAACCUGCCCUUGACUUUGGGAUAACUUCAGGAAACUGGGGCUAAUACCGGAUAGGAGCUCCUGCUGCAUGGUGGGUGUUGGAAAGUUUCGGCGGUUGGGGAUGGACUCGCGGCUUAUCAGCUUGUUGGUGGGGUAGUGGCUUACCAAGGCUUUGACGGGUAGCCGGCCUGAGAGGGUGACCGGCCACAUUGGGACUGAGAUACGGCCCAGACUCCUACGGGAGGCAGCAGUGGGGAAUAUUGCACAAUGGGCGGAAGCCUGAUGCAGCAACGCCGCGUGCGGGAUGACGGCCUUCGGGUUGUAAACCGCUUUCGCCUGUGACGAAGCGUGAGUGACGGUAUUGGGUAAAGAAGCACCGGCUAACUACGUG
rnacentral:rRNA from 1 species